GACGAACGCUGGCGGCGUGCUUAACACAUGCAAGUCGAACGGAAAGGCCCUGCUUUUGUGGGGUGCUCGAGUGGCGACCGGGUGAGUAACACGUGAGUUACCUGCCCUUGACCUUGGGAUAACUUCAGGAAACUGGGGCUAAUCCCGGAUAGGAGCUCCUGCUGCUUGGUGGGGGUUGGAUAGUUUCGGCGGUUGGGGAUGGACUCGCGUCUGAUCAGCUUGUUGGUGGGGUAGUGGCUUACCAAGGCUUUGACGGGUAGCCGGACUGAGAGGGUGACCGGCAACAGUGGGACUGAGAUACGGCCAAGACUCAUACGGGAGGGAGAAGUAGGGAAGGUUAAACAAUGAGCGGAAGCCUGAGGCAGCAACACCGAGGGCGGGAUAGCGACCAUCGGGUUAUAAACCGCAAGCGCCUGUGACGGAGCUGAAGAUAACGGAAUGGGGAGAAUAGCACCGGCUUAAUACGGG
rnacentral:rRNA from 1 species